rnacentral:rRNA from 1 species
CCGAGCGGAUGAGUUGCGAACGGGUGAGUAACGCGUAGGUAACCUGCCUGGUAGCGGGGGAUAACUAUUGGAAACGAUAGCUAAUACCGCAUAACAGUCGACAUUGCAUGAUGUUGAUUUGAAAGGGGCAAUUGCUCCACUACCAGAUGGACCUGCGUUGUAUUAGCUAGUUGGUGAGGUAACGGCUCACCAAGGCGACGAUACAUAGCCGACCUGAGAGGGUGAUCGGCCACACUGGGACUGAGACACGGCCCAGACUCCUACGGGAGGCAGCAGUAGGGAAUCUUCGGCAAUGGGGGCAACCCUGACCGAGCAACGCCGCGUGAGUGAAGAAGGUUUUCGGAUCGU